UACGUAGGGGGCAAGCGUUGUCCGGAUUUAUUGGGCGUAAAGAGCGUGUAGGCGGCCAGGUAGGUCUGCUGUGAAAACUCGAGGCUUAACCUCGAGCUGUCGGCGGAAACCAUCUGGCUAGAGUCCGGAAGAGGAGAAUGGAAUUCCCGGUGUAGCGGUGAAAUGCGCAGAUAUCAGGAAGAACACCAAUGGCGAAAGCAGCUCUCUGGGACGGUACUGACGCUGAGACGCGAAAGCGUGGGGAGCGAACAGG
rnacentral:rRNA from 1 species